CCUGGGUUCACGUCAUUCUCCUGCCUCAGCCUCCCGAAUAGCUGGGACUACAGGCACCAGCACCAUGCCCACCUAAUUUCUUGUAUUUUUGGUGGAGACGGGGUUUCUGAACUCUUAUUUAUUUAUUCACUUGUCUAUUUCCUUUUCCUCUCUCUUCCCAGCUCCUGCUUCUUCGUCACAGGUACACCAGGGCAUCCAGCACAUUGAUUUGUCCCCACUCGCCUUAGCCUGUCUCCUGCCACAGUUGUCUCAUUUUGGUGAAGUGCGUGUCCAGAUUUCCCCAUGCUCCCAGCUGCAACAUGGAUCCAUUCCUUCCGUCUGGAUACAGGGCAGCAGAAAUCAGCAGAAUGCUUUUAUUCACAGAGCUGAAUGCCU
rnacentral:lncRNA from 1 species